rnacentral:tRNA from 1 species
GCCACCGUAGCUCAAUUGGCAGAGCAGCGGUUUUGUAAACCGCAGGUUCGGGGUUCGAAUCCCCGCGGUGGCU